rnacentral:rRNA from 1 species
GUCUACAGCCAUGCCACCCUGAACAAGCCCGAUCCCGUCUGAUCUUGGAAGCUAAGCAGGGUCAGGCCUGGUUAGUACUUGGAUGGGAGACCACCUAGGAAGACCAGGUGCUGUAGGUG